GUAAUGAGUGGGUACAAGAAAUGACAUUAAAGUGCUUGCAUUGUGUUUCAUCUUGGUUUUAUCUGUGUGUGAAAUACACUUUUUCUCAAAAAGCUUAUCUGAAGCUCAGAAGUGUGGUGUCAGAAUACAUAUGCGUACCUGCUAGGCUCUCAGAUCCAGAUACUGGUGCUGUCAGGAGAGAGCACAGCAUAGCGUGUAUGGGGGCUUUACUGUAACAUUAAGCAUACAAAGUGUUGAUUUGCUUGCAGUUUUCCCCAUAGCUAAACACUGAGGCCUGUGAGUAGUUUUAGGACUUGAGCAGUAAUGGGGUUGCAUGUCUCUGUUAAUCAUUGCCAGCUGCAGUGACAUGAUCAGGAAGGCCAGUGUUUUGUUCCAUUAUGUCAAAUGAGGCUAAGCAUGUUGGAAAGGAUGCAUAAAAAGUAUGCUGUUCUGGGUAAUUACUUUGCUUCUUCCACUACUACUAGCAAGUUUGGAAUCAGCUAAUUAGCUUCAGAUUUUUUUUUUCUCUCCAUACCAGCUAGUGGGGCUCUUAAAUAGCUGCUUACUGGAAAAGGCAAAAAAGGGAGGAUUGGCCUUCUCCCACCUCUGUCAUUGCUGCUAGGUAAUGAUUGACAUGUUAGGACUUGGCUGUGCAAUCCCGCAGUGGUCUGUGAAUACCCCAUCUCUAUAAAUGUUGCUUCUGAACACCAGUACUGAAGAGCUAACUGGGGAGGGUUGGGAGGAGUGUGGCUAUAAGUGAAUCUGGAGUGUUAAAAGGAUGCACAAAGAUAUAGUAUCCCUUAUGCAUGGUGUUUGUUGCUAUGGCAUAGAAAACAAAACGUGCAUACUAUACUUCUGCUCCUGAGGGCCAUGAUAAAACCCAGGUGGUGGGUUUGAGACUAAACUUGAACUUCUCCCUGCCUGGUCAGAUCACAAUGUGACCAUGGUGUGAUUUGCCUCCCAACUAGAGCUGUGCACAGAACCUUGUACUACAUCCCUAGCUGCUGACCAUUGCAGUUUGCCCUCAGCUUAGCUAUAUAGCAAAAGGGUGGGUCUUCAGAAGGGAAGAAUCUGUUGCUGAGAAUAAAAGCAGUAGACCGACAAUGCUAACCUCUAGUGUCUUCCUUUGGCUUUUGAAGCACUUCUAGGACUAUUGAACCUGAGGGCUGCUAGGAGUCCAGGGACAUUGCACUCCUUCAUGAAGGGCAAGACAGAGGGCAUUACUGCAGGAGACAAACUAGGGUAAAAGAGUUGAAGUAGCUUGACAAAAUUGUUAAUGCCUUCACAUAAGGGAUAGUAUACCUCUGGCUGCAAUCAAACUUCCUUGUACUCAGACUGGUGAUUUACGGUUUGUGCUCAGACAAGGUGCAGUUCUUCAGUCAACUACCUGCAUAUUCCUUCAUCUCUUUACAAGUGUUUAGGCUAGCCUAUUUCUGCCCCAUAUUCUUCCACUUAAUAUUUUGGAAUAAUUUGUAAAUUCCCCCUCAUAACUAAUCAGUCUAUGCAUCUUAAAACCUUAUUUUUAAGUUAGUUUUGAAAUGGUCAGAAUUUUCUGUGUAUUACUAUAAUAACUUCAGUUGUUAUCCUUUAGGUGAAGAUGAAAGCUGAGUGAAACCGGAGUGCUCAUCCAUGGGAAUUCAGGAGCUGAGCAUGAGCACACCCAGCAUGAUGCCCGGUGAUAUGUGGAGGGACUAAGAUAACAAGUGAAUGAAAGAAGAUGAAAUUCAAAUGCAGUGAAGAGGACCCAGGAAUACACCAUUUAAAAAAAUAAAAUACUUGAAUUU